GCCCAAAAACCCAGCUAACCAACCCUACAAAACCCCAUAUAAUUAAAACUAAAACAUUUAUUCCUAGCCAGUAAAUGAGAUUAAACACUUCUACUUUAGCCUUAAAAGUACCGCAAGGGAAAAAAUGAAAGACUAAUGAAACUAUUAAAGCACUAAAUAGCAAAGAUUAACUCCUGUACCUCUUGCAUCAUGGUUCAGCAAACCACCUUCAGACAAAGAGAACCUUUAGCCUGACCCCCCCGAAACCAAACGAGCUAUUUUUGGGCACCUGUUAAUUAGACCGCACCCGUCCCUGUAGCAAAAGGGUGGGAAGACCUAAAAAUAGAGGCGAAAAGCCUAUCGAGCUUGGUGAUAGCUGGUUACUCAACAAAAGAAUUUAAGUUCAACUUUAGGCACACACGAGACAAAAACACAAACUCAGCCUAUACUACCUAAAGAAAACCAAUGGGGGUACAGCCCCAUUGAACCGGAAUACAGCCCGAAAUGAGAGACAAUCAACAUCCAUUCUUAGUAGGCUUCAGAGCAGCCACCAACAAACCGCGUUAUAGCUAGAACUAAAACAAUUUAAAUAAUUUAACUAACCUCCAACCCAACUAGAGUUAUUCUAUACUAGUAUAGAAAUACCAAUGCUAAUAUUAGUAAUAAGAAACACUCAUUUCUCUUAGCAUCGCCUUAAAUCAGAACAGAAAACCUACUGAUAAUUAACAAACUAACUAACUGACCUGCACACUCUAGCCCCCAUGUCUCCACAACUUGUUACCCCAACACAGGAAUGCAAAAAAGAAAGGCAAAAACCCGCAAAAGGAACUCGGCAAAAUAAGUCCCAACUGUUUACCAAAAACAUAGCCUUUAGCCCUACAAGUAUUAAAGGUUUCGCCUGCCCAGUGACUCUUUAAACGGCCGCGGUAUCCUAACCGUGCAAAGGUAGCAUAAUCACUUGUCCCUUAAAUAGGGACUGGAAUGAAUGGCUAAAUGAGGACUUAACUGUCUCUUGCAGUAAGCCAAUGAAAUUGAUUUUCCAGUACAAAAGCUGGAAUGUACCCAUAAGACGAGAAGACCCUGUGGAGCUUAUAAACCUAAGCCAAUCAAAUAUGGCCUCAAGGUUUUUAGUUGGGGCGACUUUGGAGUAUAAAAAAACCUCCAAAAACUCCCGUACCUAGACCCACACAUCAAAAUAACACUACUAGACCCAGCAACAAUCCUAACCUGUUGUCUGACUAAUGAACCAAGUUACCCCAGGGAUAACAGCGCCAUCCCCUUUUAGAGUCCCUAUCGACAAGGGGGUUUACGACCUCGAUGUUGGAUCAGGACACCCCAAURGUGCAGCCGCCAUUAAAGGUUUGUUUGUUCAACAAUUAAAGUCCUACGUGAUCUGAGUUCAGACCGGAGAAAUCCAGGUCGGUUUCUAUCUAUGUAAUACCAUUCUCAGUACGAAAGGACCAGAAUAGUAGGACCCAUACUAAAAGAACGUCCUAAUUUAAACUUCUGACUACCCCUAAAGAAGCACAAAUGUUUAACUAAAACCCAAAACUAGGGCUU
rnacentral:rRNA from 1 species